rnacentral:lncRNA from 13 species
UCACUUGUACUGUGUGUGCUCUUGUAUUGAGUUGAGUUCUUUUAAACUCCUGAACUUGAAAUACCUCCAAACCGCACUAUGAAUUCGCUCGCUUUUUGGUGCUGCGGAUGGUUAAUAGCUUUAGAUCAAUGUCACGUGUUUGCAAGAAAGAGGACCAGAGAUCUAGUCUCAUCGAAUCUAAUCAAAUUGAAUGUGUCACAUGCACCGAAUACAACAGGUGUAGGUAGACCUGACCCAACAAUGCAGUUCAAGAAAUAGAGUUAAGAAAAUAUUUACUAAAUAAACGAAGUAAGAAAUAAAAAGUAACGCAUAAAAUGACAUAACAAUAACGAGGCUCAAUACAGGGGGUACCGGUACCGAGUCAAUGUGCGGGGGUACAGGUUAGUCAAGGUAUAUUGUAGGUAGGGAUAAAGUGACUAUGCAUAGGUAUUAAACAGCGAGUAGCUGUAAAUAGUCCAGGUGGCCAUUUGAUUAAUUGUUCAGCAGUCUUAUAGCUUGGGGGAAGAAGUUGUUAAGGAGCCUUUUGGACCUAGACUUGGCUCUCCGGUACCGCUUGCCGUGCGGUAGCAGAGAACACAGUCUAUGACUUGGGUGACUGGGGUCUUUGACAAUUUUUGGGGCCUUCCUCUGACACAGCCUAGUAUAUAGGUUCUGGAUGGCAGGCAGCUUGGCCCCAGUGAUGUAUUAGGCCGUAUGCACUACCCUCUGUAGCACCUUAGGGUCGGAUGCCGAGCAGUUGCCAUAUCAGGCGGUGAUGCCACCGGUCAGGAUGCUAUCGAUGGUGCAGCUGUAGAACCUUUUGAGUAUCUGGGGACCCAUGCCAAAUCUUUUCAGUCUCCCGAGGGGGAAAAAGUGUUGUUGUGCCCUCUUUAAGACUGUCUUGGUGUGGUUACGUCAGAACCUAUUGUUGAAGUGGCAGCAUGAUGUUGACUGUGUACACUUACCCCUCUGUCUUCGUCAACACCAGAUGCCCCCCAAAACACCUCAGUGUCAGUCAGUCCCUCUGGUGAAAUAGUGGAGGGCAGUUCAGUGACACUGACCUGCAGCAGUGAUGCCAACCCACCUGUGGACAAAUACACCUGGUACAAGAAGAACGUAACCUCACCAAAAGCAUCAGGACAGAGUUACAACAUCACUAUCAUCUCUGAGGACAGAGGAGAAUAUUACUGUGAGGCUGUGAAUGAAGUUGGUGCCCAGAAUUCUACAUCUCAAUUGAUAAUUAUAGCAGGGAAAGAAACAUCUGUGAAGAAUGCAGCUACAGGUAUCACAGUGCUUGUUCUGGUUCUCAUCCUCUGUCUCUCUGGCUUCAUGUGGUUCAGGAAGAAGGCCUCCACAUCCACCUCUGUCAAGAUCACAUAAUAUUUUUUUGUUUUCGUUCAGAUACUGCGCUUGAUUAGGCUUCUCUAGCACAAUGGAACAAAUGUAAUUUUGUUUCCCCAUCAGGUAAACUCAAGCCUUGUUCAUGUCAACGUCUCAGGCAUGGCCAUGACCCCUACUGCAGCACAGAGAGCUGACACAGAGAGCCAGGAUGAUGUUCACUACGCCAGCAUCUACUUCUCUGGCUCCAGUAUCCAUGAAGUGCCUCUGUACUCGACCAUCCAACUGCCUCGACCCCAGAAAGAGGAUGUCCUGUACGAUGUUGUGAAAUUCAACCGCGCCAGUGCUGCCACCCGGUGAGCCAGUCCAGCCAUUACAUCAAAUCAGAAAAUCUCAUAAUUAAAUGGUACUUGUACUUGACAAUUAGGAAUGCAUAAGACUUGUAUGUUAAGCAGACCAGCAGAAGUUCAGAUAAAUGUAUUAAGAUGUACAAUGACUUCACACCCUUACCGUCGGGCUGACGGUGUCGGAGCAUGAGGUCUAACACCAACGGGCCAGAGAGUUUCUAUCUACAAGCCAUCAGACUGCUUAACACUUGAACUGGACUGACCACUGUCACACUGUUUCUUUGCACACUGAGAAUAAUGGCGCCAGAGGGGAUGACUGCCAUUUUACGGGCUCCUAACCGAUUGUGCUAUUUUGUGUGUUUUUUUUUCACACUGUUUGUAACUUAUUUUGUACAUAAUGUUUCUGCCACCGUCUCUUAUGACCGAAAAGAGCUUCUGGGUAUCUGAACAGCAAUUACUCACCUCGAAUUGGAAAACGUUUUUUUCGUUAAUGAGUCUGACGCAAAGGAUAUACUGCUGCUGCUGNNNNNNNNNNAACAAUACACAAAUCUAAAGGUAAACGAAUGGAAUUAAAUAAUAAAUAAAUAUUAGGACGAGCAAUGUCGUAGUGGCACUGACUAAAAUACAGUGGAAUAGAAUACAGUAUAUACUGUUAGGUUCUAAUUUUUCAGAGUAAAUAACUCACCGACACUAGAGAAGCUUAACCAAGUUUAAUUCUUCCCAAAGGGUCGUUACAGCUGUAAUUCAGACCCCCCAAAAAUCUCACACAAGUACUGAUAUUUAACUCUUUC